UACAGAGGGGGCAAGCGUUGUUCGGAAUUACUGGGCGUAAAGGGCGCGUAGGCGGCCUGUUAAGUCGAACGUGAAAUCCCCGGGCUUAACCUGGGAACCGCAUUUGUGACUGCAUAGCUGGAGUACGGCAGAGGGGGAUGGAAUUCCGCGUGUAGCAGUGAAAUGCGUAGAUAUGCGGAGGAACACCGAUGGCGAAGGCAGUCCCCUGGGCCUGUACUGACGCUCAUGCACGAAAGCGUGGGGAGCAAACAGG
rnacentral:rRNA from 1 species